rnacentral:tRNA from 1 species
GUUGGGAUACCUCAGUUGGUAGAGCAGAGGACUGAAAAUCCUCAUGUCACUAGUUCAAAUAUGGUGCUUGACA